rnacentral:rRNA from 1 species
AGUGAACGCUGGCGGCGUGCUUAACACAUGCAAGUCGAACGAGAACGGAUUAUAGCUUGCUAUAAUUGUCAGCUAAGUGGCGCACGGGUGAGUAAUGUAUAGGUAAUAUGCCUCUUACUAAGGGAUAACAAAUGGAAACGUUUGCUAAUACCUUAUGCUCCUUAUUAACAGAAGUUAAUAAGGGAAAGAUUUAUUGGUAAGAGAUUAGCCUGUAUUGUAUCAGUUAGUUGGUGGGGUAAUGGCUUACCAAGACUAUGACACAUAACUGGUUUGAGAGGAUGAUCAGUCACACUGGGACUGAGACACGGUCCAGACUCCUACGGGAGGCAGCAGUGGGGAAUAUUGCACAAUGGACGAAAGUCUGAUGCAGCAACGCCGCGUGGAGGAUGACACAUUUCGGUGCGUAAACUCCUUUUAUAUGAGAAGAUAAUGACGGUAUUAUAUGAAUAAGCACCGGCUAACUCCGUGCCAGCCGCCGCGGUAA